AUUGAACGCUGGCGGAAUGCUUUACACAUGCAAGUCGAACGGUAGAGGGGGCAACCCCUUGAGAGUGGCGAACGGGUGAGUAAUAUAUCGGAACGUGCCCAGUCGUGGGGAUAACGUAGCGAAAGUUACGCUAAUACCGCAUACGAUCUAAGGAUGAAAGCGGGGGAUCGCAAGACCUCGCGCGAUUGGAGCGGCCGAUAUCAGAUUAGGUAGUUGGUGAGGUAAAGGCUCACCAAGCCAACGAUCUGUAGCUGGUCUGAGAGGACGACCAGCCACACUGGAACUGAGACACGGUCCAGACUCCUACGGGAGGCAGCAGUGGGGAAUUUUUGGACAAUGGACGCAAGUCUGAUCCAGCCAUUCCGCGUGCAGGAUGAAGGCCCUCGGGUUGUAAACUGCUUUUGUACGGUAACGAAACGGUGAGCUCUAAUACAGUUUGCUAAUGACGGUACCGUAAGAAUAAGCACCGGCUAACUACGUGCCAGCAGCCGCGGU
rnacentral:rRNA from 1 species